UCAUGAUCAGAUAUGCUCAUC
rnacentral:piRNA from 1 species